CUUGGCUAACUUCUUUUUGGCACUAUCAGAAUAUUCUAUAAAAAGGUUGAAUAUGUGCUUGAAGAUUGUAAUGAGGUUCUCGUCAAAAUCAACAAAUUUGUCGUCAACAAAGAAGGCUUAGUAUGUGUGGAAACAUUGUGUAUGCCUGUUACUAUACCAGAAAGAUUUGAGUUGGAUGCUUUUGAGUUAGAUAAACCUGAAGAUGCUGGCAGGUAUAUAGUUAGAAAGAGCAUAAUUAAAGAGUGCAAAAGACAUAGUUCGUUUCCCUUUCCAACAGAAUGCCACCAUACUUUACUUAUUGCACACUGUACAGAGGCAGAGAGAAUCUCCCAUUGCUUACUGUGCACAAUGUAAGUUUGAUUUGAUCACUUUUCUUUUUCUUUUUGUUUAUAAACUCUUCUAUCUUUACUAACAUUGUUUUUCUCCAUGUUCUUCCUCUGACCUUCAACUCCUAUUCUCAAAAUAAAAUGAAAAUGCGUAAUUCCCUUAAGCUGUUGGCACUCCCCUAAUCCCUUCAUUAAGUUUUAUUAAAUUCUAUGUUUUGCUUAAUAGUGCAUGAUUUCUUUAUUUUUUUCUCUUUAGUAGCUGGCUUUGGAAAGUUGUCAGUUUGAUUAUUGCUUACAAGAUUGGCUUGUGAUGAUCUUCUUUAAUGAUGUACCGGAAAGUUGCAAGUUGCCUACUUCAGAGUUUUCUGUGUGCAAGAAAACAAAGAGAGGAGGACAUUGUAAACUUUUCUUAUGUGCACUGCUAUUUAAUGAAAAGUUUGGUGACUUCUGUAAAAAAAAAGUUUGGUGACUAAUUUUCUUAUGGCAGUGAUGCAGAAACUUGAGUUA